UGAGGAAUUUUGCGCAAUGGGAGCAAUCCUGACGCAGCAACGCCGCGUGGGUGAUGAAGGCCUUCGGGUCGUAAAGCCCUGUCAGGUGGGAAGAAUGUCCCGGAACUGAACAGGUUUCGGGAGUGACGGUACCACCAGAGGAAGCACCGGCUAACUCCGUGCCAGCAGCCGCGGUCAUACGGAGGGUGCAAGCGUUAUGCGGAAUUACUGGGCGUAAAGCGCGUGUAGGCGGUCCUGCAAGUCUGAUGUGAAAGCCCCGGGCUUAACCCGGGAAGUGCAUUGGAAACUGCAGGGCUUGAGUACUGGAGAGGAUGGGGGAAUUCCCGGUGUAGAGGUGAAAUUCGUAGAGAUCGGGAGGAAUAUCAGUGGCGAAGGCGCCCAUCUGGACGGUAACUGACGCUGAGACGCGAAAGCGUGGGGAGCAAACA
rnacentral:rRNA from 1 species